GCACCCGCGGUAAUUCCAGCUCCAAUAGCGUAUACUAAUGUUGUUGCAGUUAAAAAGCUCGCAGUCGGAUUUCAGUAGGCUCAGUUAAGUCUCUUCUAUUGAGUUCUUUAUGGGCCUGCUUCUUUGACAGAAACUUCUAUGUUAUUCAUUUAGCGUGGGUAGCGACUGUCUCUUUUACUUUGAGAAAAUUAGAGUGUUCAAAGCAGGUAUUCGCCUGAAUAUUACUCUUGGAAUAAUGCUAUAAGACUUUGGUUCUAAUGUAUUGGUGAUUGGGACCAGAGUAAUGAUUGAUAGGGACGGUUGGGGUCUUACGUACUGCAAAGCGAGAGGUGAAAUUCUUGGGCCUUUGUAUGACGAACAACUGCGAAAGCAUUGGACUAGGACGUUCCCGUUGAUCAAGAACGAAA
rnacentral:rRNA from 1 species